rnacentral:rRNA from 1 species
CCUACGGGAGGCAGCAGUAAGGAAUAUUGGUCAAUGGACGAAAGUCUGAACCAGCCAUGCCGCGUGAAGGAUGAAGGCCCUCUGGGUUGUAAACUUCUUUUAUCUGGGACGAAAAAAGGGAAUUCUUUCCCACUUGACGGUACCAGAGGAAUAAGCACCGGCUAACUCCGUGCCAGCAGCCGCGGUAAUACGGAGGGUGCAAGCGUUAUCCGGAUUCACUGGGUUUAAAGGGUGCGUAGGUGGGUCUGUAAGUCAGUGGUGAAAUCUCCGAGCUUAACUCGGAAACUGCCAUUGAUACUAUAGGUCUUGAAUCAUCUGGAGGUAAGCGGAAUAUGUCAUGUAGCGGUGAAAUGCUUAGAUAUGACAUAGAACACCAAUUGCGAAGGCAGCUUACUACGGGUGCAUUGACACUGAGGCACGAAAGCGUGGGGAUCAAACAGGAUUAGAUACCCUGGUAGUCCACGCCCUAAACGAUGGAUACUCGACAUCAGCGAUACACUGUUGGUGUCUGAGCGAAAGCAUUAAGUAUCCCACCUGGAAGUACGACCGCAAGGUUGAAACUCAAAUGAAUUGGACGNGAGAGAGACGACGACGACGACGAGGAGGGAGGAG